rnacentral:lncRNA from 1 species
GGCCAUUUCUGAAGUUUCUCCCCUCUUCUCAGACCUCUGAGAUGCACCUACUGUGUCUUCUGGCUCCUGAUCAUAUGGAGGUCAUGGUAGAUGAUUCUCAGGUGAAGAAGGCUGCGUUUGUCUCUGGAGCACACAACAGCUCCAGCCCAGCGCUGCAGUUCUCUUCAGUGAAGCAGCAGGACUUGAUUGGGCAGGACUUCCACACAGAGAUAUGGAUCACAUGCAACAUGGUUGCCAGAUAUCAGCUAAAGAGCUGACUUGAAGUUUAUCCAUAGUCAUGCUCACACCCCACUCUUGUUCCCAUGCUCAUCAGUCUUUAUACCUCCAGAACGGUAGCAAAUUGGCAGAGCAGAGCUCCGGAGUCCUUCCCAUUCAGAAGGUCAUCAGCUACUAGGAGGAUGAGGAAUCCACAUAACCUGCCUCUUGAAAUUCCCUCUCCUCGUUUUGAUGCAGAGCACGGCCAGAAGACUGACUUUAUUGGUGAGGAAGAGUGGAACGGAUCCAAAGCCUGUUGUCUCGCUGGUAACCAGGGUGCCUGCUGGAAGGGCUGUAGCUGUUGCGUCGAAACCCAAAUGCAAUUAUGCAAUGUCUGCUAAGCAGCAAGGAGUUUGCCUGGAUCAGGAGACUGCUUCAUUGCCCGCAGAAGAGACCGACAGCAGCCAGUAACUGAUUGCUUCUUAUUGCUGAAGCAUCAGUGAUUUUUUUCCGAUGCUUUCUCCUCUUUGUAGCCAUGGCUCUGAGACAUUCAGUACGCUGAGUGAAGCGCUGGGGUGGGGGAAGAGGCAAGGGCAGCAGACAGGAUAAGGCCAGCUGGAGGAGCAGUAGUUUUCAGUGGCAAUAAGCAGGACAUUGGCAACUCGUUUUCCUCCUGUUUCUCUGCUGACUGCCUUCCACAUCUCUGUAAUGACACGUCAGACUGGGGUGUUCCCCUUGUUUCUGUGCUCCUGUUUGCAUGGCUCCAGGUUGGCUUAGAAACCUUUCCCCUUGUGUGUGUUUGAUAGUCCCGUCUCUCAAUGCAAGAGCGGGCGCUCAGAGGAGGCGGUUUUUUUCUCUCCAGGGUCCUGGCUCUUUUUCCAUCAGACACCAGUGUUAGGUGAACAUCCCUCCAGUGCAGAAGGAAUGAAUCCUUCAUUUUCACAAAUGCAAAUGCUGGCUACCCGUUGCCUAUCUAAGCGAUAUUUGGUUCCUGCCGCCUCCUUGCAAUUCUAGUUCAAAAGCACCUCUCAGACUGUAACAUCUGUUAUCUUUAGCUUUACAGCUCUGAAACAUGCGUUGGCUUAAUCACAUGUUUAGCACUGCUGACUGUGGUACGUGUCCAAAUAUUAAGUAACUUACUGAGCUGGGGCCUAGCUUUGACUGAUGGGAUUAGGGCUAUCAGAUUGUUUUUUUCCAUUUGGGUCACCGAGAACAUUUAGAUAGACAAUUAAAAGAGAUGCUGCCCUCUGUAAUCUUGCUGGAGAGAGAAAGAGUAACCAGGAAAGCAUUUGGCUGAAGAAAGAUGAAGUGCAAGUCCACUGGAGGUCUUUUGCUGGGCCUAAAGAGAGUUUAAGCGUUUUGCAGGGGACCAAAACUGACCACGCGUGGUUGACCGCCACUGCCAGAAAAUGGAGGGAGCAAGCGAAAUCGGAGGAAAGGCUGCAGACCAGGAUAUACCCAUCUAUUGGGAAGAGAGUUUCUUUAGUUCAGCUGCUUGCAGGCCUGCUCCACCAGUCAACGUGCCGUUUGUUGUUGACUGGCUCCUCCCAGGUGGGCCAGUCACAAAAACCCAACACAGUUGCCUUGCUGGGACCAGCUGACCCGGCUGUGAUCUCCAUGUCCUCCCUUCUGGCUGGAGAGCAGCAAGCCUGGGGUAGCUCUGCGGUGUCCGAGCUGUUGUUUAAUGUUCUGUUGUGCAGGGCAGGCUGCCCGUGGAAAAGCCUUGGGCAAGCGUAACCAGAGAGGUCUGAUGACAUGCUUUCUCUUGGACACCAAGGUCCUGGCGGCUGUUUUUUGGGUUUCCUGUUCUGCCCUUCAGGUCUCAGGUCCUGGCAGGUGGUAUCCUAGGUCUGGUGGCAGCAGAGGCUGAAGGUGUGAGGAGGUGCAGGCGUCUCCUGGAGCAGCGCUGCUGGCGUCCCGCUGCUGGGCUGGAAGGGACUGCUCCAGGGACCGUGCUGGCUCUCUGGACGUGGCAGGAGCGUCCGUCUUGUGCUGGUGCCAGCCCUGGCUGGAGCUGCCCUGCGCUCGCAGCUUGGCACCACCACGCUGGCUGGCCUCUCGGGGCACGCGAGCCACCGUCUGUGUCCUACACCUGGCUCAGACCUGCCUUUUGUGGCUGGAUCGUGCGGGACAAGCCGUGUCUUGCUGGGACAGAGGGCUGUUUCUGGCACUUCAGCCAGUUCCUGCAAAGGGCUCUUCACCUUCAGCAGUCAACACGCCUGUGCAGGCACCUCUCGCGCCGCUGACGUAGUCCGAUCUCUCCCUGGCCGUGUUUCUGGGCACAGUUCACCUGGUGAACAGCCGCUCGUCUGCGUCCGGGCUGAGAGCUUGAGGGGGCUCCAGGCCACGUCCAGGGUGCUGUGAUGAGACGCUGCUUCCCGCUGCUCCACGCGACCCAGCUAGCCACGUUUCCUGCCCUUCGGGAGGCCUAAACGCGUCCGCACCUGCACCGAGGGAAACAAAAGUCUUCGUGGCGCCUCUUGGCGCUGCGAUGCCGUAAACGCCAUGAAACGACUGGCCCAGCUACGCGACUGCGUGUUUUGGCCUGCUCUUGCCUCCUUGAGAGGAAACGCGUGUGCUUGAGGCAGGUUUUCAUUUGGGAAGCAAGUGAGCUCCAGAGCUCGGGUUCAGACUCCUCUCGCUUAGGAGCGGGGUCGGCACGUCGGACCUGCCCUUCCCCUGCGGGAAAGGGGUUGGACAGCCCAAAGGAGCAAAAAAUACCAUGGCCGUAACCACCCCCCCGCCACCCCCCGAAGCUGAGUUUGGGCAUCUCCUGUUAGAUCACUUUAAAUCCAGCCCUGUUGGGCCUUUGUGUCCGAUUGAAACAGCGUGACCGAAUACUUGCCAGCGGGGAAGCCUUGUUUGAUUGUGGAGGAUAUAAGAUGAUUCGAACACAAGAGCUGAUAGUUUCAAGUAACUGAAACUUAACCUUGCCGUAUAAAGCUUUAUUGUCUUGCCACAGAAAUCCUCUGUCCGGGAGAGCACAGCUGUGAGGAAAAUAAAUGCUGCUCUUCUUUUUUUUUCUUUCUUUCU